CCAACGGCCCUCUUUAGGGCCACAUAUUUUGUCGAAUACUUCUAGU
rfam:Ancylostoma duodenale strain Zhejiang A_duodenale-1.0_Cont244703.1, whole genome shotgun sequence.